GUUAGGAAUUUUGGGCAAUGGGCGGAAGCCUGACCCAGCAACGCCGCGUGGGUGAUGAAGGCCCUCGGGUCGUAAAGCCCUUUUCCCAGGGAAGAUAGUGACGGUACCUGGGGAAUCAGCCCCGGCUAACUACGUGCCAGCAGCCGCGGUAAUACGUAGGGGGCAAGCGUUGUCCGGAUUUAUUGGGCGUAAAGCGCUCGCAGGUGGCCCGUCGCGUCGUGCGUGAAAGACCCCGGCUCAACUGGGGGGCGUCGUGCGAUACGGGCGGGCUAGAGGCCAGUAGGGGGAUGCGGAAUUCCGGGUGUAGUGGUGGAAUGCGUAGAGAUCCGGAGGAACACCAGCGGCGAAGGCGGCAUCCUGGACUGGUCCUGACACUCAGGAGCGAAAGCGUGGGGAGCGAUCCGGAUUAGAAACCCUGGUAGUCC
rnacentral:rRNA from 1 species